AAGGUCUGUGGGUUCCACUGAAAUGCUCUGUAAUGGUUGAAAAAAACACAGAUGGACAUGCACUGGCACGGAAGGGUGUCCGAUAUACUGUCAAGUGAAAAGGAAGGAGAGAAAGAAACACUGAAACAAUAGAGGAAAAAUGUCCAGAACGGAAUAAAUACAUGAGGCCUUCUGAUUGGAAAGGGCCAGCGAUUCUGAGGGGAAGCAUCCCACUAAAGUUGGAAACAAGGUGAAAUGACUGCUUAUACACUCUCCCCGUCACUCCCCUUUCGAAAGGCCAGGCACCAAAAGGGCUUCUCCACACCUGGCCUCCAUGGCCUGGGCAAAAGUAGGACAUAUCAGCACCUCCUCCUUCCUAGGUAGGCCUGUCAUGAUCCAUGAAGAGCAGGCAAGAGAACUUAGAACAAAGCUGUCUCUGCUGGAAUAAAUCGCUUGUGUGGGUCGUGGGAA